GCGGCGGAGCAUGCGGAUUAAUUCGAUGCAACGCGAAGAACCUUACCAAGGCUUGACAUACACCGGUAACGCCCAGAGGAUGGGUGCCCCUUUGUGGUCGGUGUACAGGUGGUGCAUGGUUGUCGUCAGCUCGUGUCGUGAGAUGUUGGGUUAAGUCCCGCAACGAGCGCAACCCUCGUCCUAUGUUGCCAGCGGGUCAUGCCGGGGACUCAUGGGAGACUGCCGGGGUCAACUCGGAGGAAGGUGGGGAUGACGUCAAAUCAUCAUGCCCCUUAUGUCUUGGGCUUCACGCAUGCUACAAUGGCCGGUACAAAGGGCUGCGAUACCGCGAGGUGGAGCGAAUCCCAGAAAGCCGGUCUCAGUUCGGAUUGGGGUCUGCAACUCGACUCCAUAAAGUUGGAAUCGCUAGUAAUCGCGGAUCAGCAUGCCCGCGGUCGAAUACGUUCCCGGGCCUU
rnacentral:rRNA from 1 species